rnacentral:rRNA from 1 species
UACGUAGGGGGCAAGCGUUGUCCGGAAUUAUUGGGCGUAACGCGCGCGCAGGCGGUCAGUUAAGUCUGGUGUUUAAGCCCGGGGCUCAACCCCGGUACGCACUGGAGACUGGAUGACUGGAGUGCAGGAGAGGGGAGUGGAAUUCCAUGUGUAGCGGUGAAAUGCGUAGAUAUGUGGAGGAAAAGCAGUGGCGAAGGCGACUCUCUGGCCUGUAACUGACGCUGAGGCGCGAAAGCGUGGGGAGCAAACAGG